rnacentral:tRNA from 1 species
GCACUGGCCUUUCAGUGGUAGAAUUCUCCCCUUCCAAGUGGGAGACCUGGGUUUGACUCCCAGCCAUGCA